rnacentral:rRNA from 1 species
CCUACGGGAGGCUGCAGUCGAGAAUCUUCGGCAAUGGGCGCCAGCCUGACCGAGCGACGCCGCGUGGAGGACGAAGGCCUUCGGGUUGUAAACUCCUGUCGAGGGGGACCAAGGGGCGGCGAAGAGCCGCCCUUGAGGUAACCCUGGAGGAAGCACGGGCUAAGUUCGUGCCAGCAGCCGCGGUAAGACGAACCGUGCGAACGUUAUUCGGAAUCACUGGGCUUAAAGCGCGCGUAGGCGGGCCGCCGCGUCGGCUGCUGAAAGCCCCCGGCUCAACCGGGGAACGGGCACCGAGACGGGCGGCCUGGAGGGGAGUAGGGGGACCUGGAACUUCCGGUGGAGCGGUGAAAUGCGUUGAGAUCGGAAGGAACGCCCGUGGCGAAAGCGAGGUCCUGGGCUCCUGCUGACGCUGAGGCGCGAAAGCCAGGGGAGCGAACGGG